AGUGAACGCUGGCGGUAGGCCUAACACAUGCAAGUCGAACGGCAGCACAGUAAGAGCUUGCUCUUACGGGUGGCGAGUGGCGGACGGGUGAGGAAUACAUCGGAAUCUACUUUUUCGUGGGGGAUAACGUAGGGAAACUUACGCUAAUACCGCAUACGACCUACGGGUGAAAGCAGGGGAUCUUCGGACCUUGCGCGAUUGAAUGAGCCGAUGUCGGAUUAGCUAGUUGGCGGGGUAAAGGCCCACCAAGGCGACGAUCCGAAGCUGGUCUGAGAGGAUGAUCAGCCACACUGGAACUGAGACACGGUCCAGACUCCUACGGGAGGCAGCAGUGGGGAAUAUUGGACAAUGGGCGCAAGCCUGAUCCAGCCAUACCGCGUGUGUGAAGAAGGUCUUCGGGUUGUAAAGCCCUUUUGUUGGGAAAGAAAAGCAGUAGGUUAAUACCUCGCUGUUCUGACGUUACCAAAAGAAUAAGCACCGGCUAACUUCGUG
rnacentral:rRNA from 1 species